rnacentral:rRNA from 1 species
UACAGAGGUCUCAAGCGUUGUUCGGAUUCAUUGGGCGUAAAGGGUGUGUAGGUGGCGCGCUAAGUCGGGUGUGAAAGCCCCCGGCUCAACUGGGGAGGGUCACGCGAUACUGAUCGACUCGAAGGCAGGAGAGGGUAGUGGAAUUCCCGGUGUAGUGGUGAAAUGCGUAGAUAUCGGGAGGAACACCAGUGGCGAAGGCGACUACCUGGCCUGUUCUUGACGCUGAGGCGCGAAAGCUAGGGGAGCAAACGGG